rnacentral:guide_RNA from 1 species
AAAGCAAGUAAUGAUAAUUUGUUUUAGAGCUAGAAAUAGCAAGUUAAAAUAAGGCUAGUCCGUUAUCAACUUGAAAAAGUGGCACCGAGUCGGUGCUUUUUU